rnacentral:lncRNA from 1 species
UUCUUACUUCUAACGAAAGGGCUUUUCUUCGAUUUUUUAAUAAAGACGAGUUUUGACUCCUUUUUUAUAUUUUCGAUUUUCCAUUAUAAAAUUGAAAGUUAUAAGAAAGGGUCAUUAAACUUAUCGAAUUAACUUUUCAUUGAUGUAUUUUUUCAUCGAGAUUUACACUGUUGUCAAUAUAAAUAUUGAAUAGUGAAAAAAAAAACAAAAGAAAUUUCAAUUGACAACAAUAAAAAAUAUUUAAAAAAAAAUACUUGUGUUAGAUUGGCACUGCAAAUCUAAUCCAAAUAAAAUAGAUACAAAAAAGUAUAGAUGAGAGAAUAAAUUAAGUGGAAAACAAGACUACAAUUU